rnacentral:rRNA from 1 species
UACGUAGGGUGCGAGCGUUAAUCGGAAUUACUGGGCGUAAAGCGUGCGCAGGCGGUUCGUUGUGUCGGUGGUGAAAGCCCCGGGCUUAACCUGGGAAUGGCCGUCGAAACUGGCGAACUGGAGUGUGGCAGAGGGGGGUGGAAUUCCGCGUGUAGCAGUGAAAUGCGUAGAUAUGCGGAGGAACACCGAUGGCGAAGGCAAUCCCCUGGGCCUGCACUGACGCUCAUGCACGAAAGCGUGGGGAGCAAACAGG